rnacentral:rRNA from 1 species
AACGCGAAGAACCUUACCUGGUCUUGACAUCCUGGGAAUCCUGUAGAGAUACGGGAGUGCUCGCAAGGAACCCAGAGACAGGUGCUGCAUGGCAUGUCGUCAGCUCGUGUCGUGAGAUGUUGGGUUAAGUCCCGCAACGAGCGCUAACCCUUGUCCUUAGUUGCCAUCUUUAAGUUGGGCGCUCUAAGGAGACCGCCGGUGACAAACCGGAGGUAAGGUGGGGAUGACGUCAAGUCAUCAUGGCCUUCUACUGACCAGGGCUACACACGUGCUACAAUGGUAGAAACAGAGGGAAGCCAACGCGCGAGCGGGAGCCAAUCCCAGCAAAUCUAUCGUAGUCCGGAUUGGAAGUCUGCCACUCGACUCCAUGAAGUCGGAAUCGCUAGUAAUCGCAGAUCAGCAUUGCUGCGGUGGAUACGUUCCCGGGUCUUGAUACACACCG